rnacentral:rRNA from 1 species
GACGAACGCUGGCGGCGUGCUUAACACAUGCAAGUCGAACGGAAAGACGCGGAGCUUGUUGGGUGCUCGAUUGGCGAACGCGGGAGUAAAACGUGAGUAACCUGCCCUUGACUGUGGGAGAACUCCAGGAAAAUGGGGCGAAUACCGGAUAGGAGAUCCUGCUGCAUGGGGGGGGUUGGAGAGUUUCGGCGGUUUGGGAUGGUCUCGAGGGUUAUCAGCUGCUUGGGCGGGUAGUGGCUUCCCAAGCCUUUGACGGGUAGGCGGCCUGAGAGGGUGACCGGCCACCUGGGGCCUGCGAUACGGACCAGACGCCUACGGGAGGCAGCAGUGGGGAACAUUGCACAAUGGGCGGACGCCUGAUGCAGCGGCGUCGCGUGCGUGAUGCCGGCCUUCGGGUUGUAAACCGAUUUGGCCGGUGCCGAAGCGUGAGUGGCGGUAAUGGGUCAAGAAGCCCCGGCUAACUACGUG